rnacentral:misc_RNA from 1 species
GGGGUAAACACUUUUGGAAGACCUAGCAGAUGAGAAUAAAUGUCAGAAUGAAUCUCAAAAGCUAAUGGAAUUCUCAGGAUUGUAAACAGUUCAAUCCUGAACCGGAACUGGACCCAGCUAUAGGGGACCUGUAUCAAUCCCCCCUCUCCAAACCCUGAACCAGUACCAGCGGUUCAAACUGUAGGUUCUAGCAUGAGUCAAACUAUAAUUUUUUUUUUUUUUAGAAAAAGGUAACAGCUUUAAAGGGCGCCACGUGAACCAAACCAUUUUUGAACCAAAACCGAAAUGGGAACCGGAAUUGGGCCGGAUUAAAACCGACUGGAACCAUGGCUAACCAGUCCAGUUCUGGUUCAUCCCCUGGCCAGGCCCUGAACCGCCAGUUCCAGCCCAGUGGCCUGGCCUGGCCUGGUUUAAGUUGAUAGAUAUACUGAUGCUUCAGCAGGACAGCCAAUAGACAAUGUCCAAGGCUUUUGCACGACGUUUAUAGGAAGUCUCCAGAUGAUGAUGAUGCAUAAUGUUACCAUUGUUCAUAUAUUUCCUACAGAAAUUCUUGUGUCUAGCAUGGCAAUGUCAUGGGUAAAGUUGCAGUGUUGUAUGUUGGUUUUUCACUUCAAUUGCAAUCUGUUACCCGAAGAUAUGGUUUAUAAUAAAUAACUUCCAUUUUUCUCAUUUUUUAGAAGGUACUUUGUAGACUCACUUUAUAAUAAAUUGACGUUGAAUAGGAACAUCACACUAAUAGUGCUUUUGCAUGAUGUCAAGUUGUCAACUCUGUUUCCCAAAGUGGAAUUUCUAAGCGUGAAGAAGUUGGUUUAUUCUGAUUUUUGUGUACGCUAUGAUGUUAGUUGCAGUAUGGAUAGUUGUACUAGUAUCAUUUGCAAUUUGUCUUGAUAUGAUGUGCCUAUGCUCCUUUGGUGGACAGUAAUAGAAGAAAAAAGGAUACUCACCAUUUGACAUGAGGUUAUACUUCUGGCAUUUGGAUACGGGAGAAGUAUUUUUCAGACAAUCAACAUGUCUGAAUUUCUUGUAAGUUGAUUGGUAAAGCUAUUAUUUCAUUCAAACUGAACCUAAAGUUUAAUGUCUGCUUAUGCUUUACCAUUCUAUUGCCAUUUUGCUGGGACCAACGUUGAGAUCCAAUGUGAGAAUUAGUAAUUUACAGCUUCUUGUAUU